AGUUUGAUCCUGGCUCAGAACGAACGCUGGCGGCAGGCUUAACACAUGCAAGUCGAACGCCCCGCAAGGGGAGUGGCAGACGGGUGAGUAACGCGUGGGAACAUACCCUUUUCUACGGAAUAGCUCUGGGAAACUGGAAUUAAUACCGUAUACGCCCUACGGGGGAAAGAUUUAUCGGGGAAGGAUUGGCCCGCGUUGGAUUAGCUAGUUGGUGGGGUAAAGGCCUACCAAGGCGACGAUCCAUAGCUGGUCUGAGAGGAUGAUCAGCCACAUUGGGACUGAGACACGGCCCAGACUCCUACGGGAGGCAGCAGUGGGGAAUAUUGCACAAUGGGCGAAAGCCUGAUGCAGCAACGCCGCGUGAGGGAUGACGGCCUUCGGGUUGUAAACCUCUUUUAGCAGGGAAGAAGCGAAAGUGACGGUACCUGCAGAAAAAGCGCCGGCUAACUACGUGCCAGCAGCCGCGGUAA
rnacentral:rRNA from 1 species